ACACUCGUGUGCCGACCGAGCGCCGUGCCGGUCGUUUCCUGUAUUGUCGACCGCGCGCCGCACGUGCUUUAUUUACGGCUCAGAGUUCUGCGAGUCAAUUUCGUUUAUUAACAAUAAUAUUCUUUUAUUAAACUCGAUCUCUAUGUGUUUUAACUAGUAAUGGUGAUCUAUUUACAUUCAGUCACUAUCAACAUUACAUAUUCCUCAAGUAUCUUCAGAUAUAAAUGAAGCCACUGUACUAAAUCUGAAGCUAUAGCAGAAAGAACUGCAAAGUCAAGCUUAUGCAAGCAAAGUCUUCAAAGGUGAGUAGAAGUGAGAAGCUAUAGGCAAUAGAAUUAAUGAAUUAUCUUUAAUUUUAGAAUUAUUGUAAAGUAUAUGUAUAUACAAACAAAUAGAUUUUACAAAUGUACAUAUAUAAUUUACUUUUUAAUUCCCCUAACAAUAUAAAGACAAUGAAUGAAAUAUUGCAUACAAGGUACUUGCAUAGUUUCAGAAUUAUUUAAAAGCAUUUUUACAGAGAAAAA